UACGGGGGGGGGCAAGCGUUGUUCGGAAUUACUGGGCGUAAAGGGCGCGUAGGCGGCAAAUUAAGUCAGCUGUGAAAUCUCCGAGCUUAACUCGGAACGGUCAGCUGAUACUGAUCUGCUAGAGUGCGGAAGGGGCAAUCGGAAUUCUUGGUGUAGCGGUGAAAUGCGUAGAUAUCAAGAGGAACACCUGAGGUGAAGACGGGUUGCUGGGCCGACACUGACGCUGAGUGCGCGAAAGCCAGGGGAGCAAACGGG
rnacentral:rRNA from 1 species